ensembl:snRNA U6 U6 spliceosomal RNA
GUGCCCACUUUGGCAGCACGUGUACUAAAAUUGGAAUUAUACAGAGAAGAUUAGCAUGGCCCCUGCACAAGGAUGACACACAAAUUUGUGAGGUGUUCCACACUAUG